CAGACAUGCGCAGUAAGGUAUGUGCCUGGAUUGUGUAAGCGCACCUUUCGGCGGCGGGGUGCUGGUACAUAUACUGCUGCAAAAACACAGAGGAAAGGGCUGCAAUAUAUGAUGAAAAUAACUAAGCAGCCUUGCUAAACCUCAGCUCGUCCUAAGGGUCUGCCCAUGACUUUUCCAAGAUCCCACUUGCAAGGUUUGACACAAUAUUUGUGUCUUGGAUGGUCAUACAUAAAGCAAGGUUAGAGAUCAGUGCUGGUAUUGGAUGCCACUGCCUAGUCAACCAUUGAACCUGAUUCAAAAGGUCCCUAUAGAAGACCGACAGUGUGUACUGAAAAAGCCAUUUAUAAGGAGCACUUCCCUCUAAGGAGGAAAUACUGAAGUUGGUAUUUCAAUAUGGUUCCAUGGGACAUUACAGAAGCACUUAAGAGGAGCAGGACUUAACUAAUUGAC
rnacentral:misc_RNA from 1 species